CUCCCGCCGGCGACCGGCGCACGGGUGAGUAACACGUAUGAAACCUGCCCGUAGCAGGGGGAUAAGCGGAAGAAAUUCCGUCUAAUACCGCGUAACAACCCGAGGAGGCAUCUCCUCGGGUUUAAAGGAAGCGAUUCCGGCUACGGAUGGUCAUGCGUCGCAUUAGCUAGUUGGCGGGGUAACGGCCCACCAAGGCGACGAUGCGUAGGGGUUCUGAGAGGAAGGCCCCCCACACUGGGACUGAGACACGGCCCAGACUCCUACGGAAGGCAGCAG
rnacentral:rRNA from 1 species